rnacentral:tRNA from 1 species
ACCUAAGUGGCUCAGUAGGUUGAGCAUCUGACUUCAGCUCAGGUCAUAAUCUCAUGGUUUGUGGGUUGGAGCCCCACGUGGGGCU